AGCCAAUGAUGAGCUCUUUAACAUUUCUGACACCUCGUAUGAGAACUGCGCUUGCAGUUGCUGAUUUCCUGAUGUGAGCUGAGGCUC